AAGAUACCAGCUGGCUGCAACUGUUUAUUAAAAACACAGCACUGUGCAAACACGAAAGUGGACGUAUACGGUGUGACGCCUGCCCGGUGCCGGAAGGUUAAUUGAUGGGGUCAGCGCAAGCGAAGCUCUUGAUCGAAGCCCCGGUAAACGGCGGCCGUAACUAUAACGGUCCUAAGGUAGCGAAAUUCCUUGUCGGGUAAGUUCCGACCUGCACGAAUGGCGUAAUGAUGGCCAGGCUGUCUCCACCCGAGACUCAGUGAAAUUGAACUCGCUGUGAAGAUGCAGUGUACCCGCGGCAAGACGGAAAGACCCCGUGAACCUUUACUAUAGCUUGACACUGAACAUUGAGCCUUGAUGUGUAGGAUAGGUGGGAGGCUUAGAAGUGUGGACGCCAGUCUGCAUGGAGCCGACCUUGAAAUACCACCCUUUAAUGUUUGAUGUUCUAACGUUGACCCGUAAUCCGGGUUGCGGACAGUGUCUGGUGGGUAGUUUGACUGGGGCGGUCUCCUCCUAAAGAGUAACGGAGGAGCACGAAGGUUGGCUAAUCCUGGUCGGACAUCAGGAGGUUAGUGCAAUGGCAUAAGCCAGCUUGACUGCGAGCGUGACGGCGCGAGCAGGUGCGAAAGCAGGUCAUAGUGAUCCGGUGGUUCUGAAUGGAAGGGCCAUCGCUCAACGGAUAAAAGGUACUCCGGGGAUAACAGGCUGAUACCGCCCAAGAGUUCAUAUCGACGGCGGUGUUUGGCACCUCGAUGUCGGCUCAUCACAUCCUGGGGCUGAAGUAGGUCCCAAGGGUAUGGCUGUUCGCCAUUUAAAGUGGUACGCGAGCUGGGUUUAGAACGUCGUGAGACAGUUCGGUCCCUAUCUGCCGUGGGCGCUGGAGAACUGAGGGGGGCUGCUCCUAGUACGAGAGGACCGGAGUGGACGCAUCACUGGUGUUCGGGUUGUCAUGCCAAUGGCACUGCCCGGUAGCUAAAUGCGGAAGAGAUAAGUGCUGAAAGCAUCUAAGCACGAAACUUGCCCCGAGAUGAGUUCUCCCUGACUCCUUGAGAGUCCUGAAGGAACGUUGAAGACGACGACGUUGAUAGGCCGGGUGUGUAAGCGCAGCGAUGCGUUGAGCUAACCGGUACUAAUGAACCGUGAGGCUUAACCU
rnacentral:rRNA from 1 species